rnacentral:rRNA from 1 species
GACGAACGCUGGCGGCGUGCUUAACACAUGCAAGUCGAACGGAAAGGCCCUGCUUUUGUGGGUUUCUCGAGUGGCGAACGGGUGAGUAACACGUGAGUAACCUGCCCUUGACUUUGGGAUAACUUCAGGAAACUGGGGCUAAUACCGGAUAGGAGCUCCUGCUGCAUGGUGGGGGUUGGAAAGUUUCGGCGGUUGGGGAUGUACUCGCGGCUUAUCAGCUUGUUGGUGGGGUAGUGGCUUACCAAGGCUUUGACGGGUAGCCGGCCUGAGAGGGUGACCGGCGACAUUGGGACUGAGAUACGGCCCAGAAUGCAACGGGAGGCAGCAGUGGGGAAUAUUGCACAAUGGGCGGAAGCCUGAUGCAGAAACGCGGCGUGCGGGAUGAAGGCCUUCGGGUUGUAAACAGAUUUAGCAUGUGACGAAGAGUGAGUGACGGUAAUGGGUAAAGAAGCACCGGCUAACUACGUG